GGGGCGUGGAGCCGGACACGGGGCAGCUGUCCCUCUGCAGCCACACGCCACAGGGGAUGAGCGCCGGCAGACACGCCCGCUCGCUCCAGGUCAGGGGUCUGAAGGGAGCCGAGCUCCUUCUGCAGACGGGCGCUGAGGAGGGAGCUGGAAGGAAAAGAAGGAAACAUUCCCUCCUCAACUGGAGGAAGACACGCGGCCACGCAGAGAACCAGCGGCCCCAGGACCGUCACCCUGCACACCCGGGGCCUGUCCCUCCUGACCCCAGGAUCACAGUGGAGAGGCACAGUGUUAGCCAAGCAGAUUGAGCCAGGACACGGCACCGCGGAGCCUGGCAGGCGAGUCCUCCAGAGGCUGAGAGCAAAGGGCUGCACUAGGGAACCCAGCAGUCAGACCAGCCCCCACUCUGGAGUGAACACGUCGCCACUACCAGGGAUCGCAGAGGUAAGGAGCGGUUUUCUCUUCUCUUUAAAGCUUGAUUUUGCGUCACAUCCUGCCUUUUUCCUUGUGUUUAUUGUCACGGGUUGUAUCGCAUGAAGACAGUGCACGAGUUAGUACUGGAAUCAUAGCAGUGCAUGGGUCAGUGCUGCACCACACCGACGCUUGGUCAGUACCAUGCACAGUGCUGCACCACACCAACGCUCAGUCAGUACCAUGCACAGACAGUGCUGCGCCACACUGACGUUCGCUCAGUUCUGUGUAGAUAUCAUUAGUGCUGUGCCACACUGACGCUCGGUCAGUACUGUGUAGAUAUCAUUAGUGCUGCACCACGCUGACGCUCGGUCAGUACUGUGUAGAUGUCAUUAGUGCCGCGCCACGCUGACACUCAGUACUGUGUAGAUAUCACUAGUGCUGGGCCACGCUGACGCUCGGUCAGUACUGUGUAGAUGUCAUUAGUGCCGCGCCACGCUGACGCUCGGUCAGUACUGUGUAGAUAUCAUUAGUGCCACGCCAUGCUGAUGCUCGGUCAGUACUGUGUAGAUGUCAUUAGUGCUGCACCACGCUGAUGCUCGGUCAGUACUGUGUAGAUGUCAUUAGUGCCAUGCCACGCUGACGCUCGGUCAGUACUGUGUAGAUGUCAUUAGUGCCAUGCCACGCUGACGCUCGGUCAGUACUGUGUAGAUAUCAUUAGUGCUGCACCAUGCUGACACUUGGUCAGUACCUUGCACAGUUAGUGCUGCACCACGCUGACACUCGGUCAGUACCAUGUGGAUAUCAGUGCAUGGUCAGUGCUGCGCCAUGCCAACACUCAGUCAGUACUAUGCUGAUGUUGGUGCACAGGUCAGUGCUGUGCCACACCAAUGCUUGGUCAGUACCAUGCACAGGUCAGUGCUAUGC
rnacentral:lncRNA from 1 species